UCGAAAUCAACUUUGACUGCGAUUCAUCUUCAUCUUCCUCGAUUCCCAGCCGUUUUUUUUUUUCUUCAAGUUUUCAUUCUUCAACGCCUCCUACCCACCACCAACUCUCAUAAGGGCCAUGAUUUACUCCACCAUUGAAAACGCAUGCAUCAGUUUCAAACUUACAAUAGUUUCCCUUCUUUUCAAAGCAUAUAUAUUUCGUUGCGAUCGUGACUCCUAUUUCGCAUUGAGAAACAAAAACCCCGAAAUCUAUGGCAAACGAACCGUCGAUAUCAACCGGAAGGAACCGAUGGCGCUUAUCAUUCUGCUUACCGAAGAGCAGAUCGAAAAGAUUUUACAGGUAGGAAGUUAAGAAAACGAUGACUUAGUGGAGAAGAAACCUUCUCUCUCUCAAUGGGCAUCUUUCUUCAGAUAAUGGUAUUAUCAGUACCCUCUGCAAGAGAAGGUGAAACCUUUCUCUCAGCGAUUUAAAGUGCAAUGUAGUCUAAUGGAAUAUGCUCUCAAUGAUGAAAUCUCAGUGGAGAGAGAAAAGGGGAGGAAGAUGAAAAGGAAGCGCAUCUUAUCUCAUAAGAAGAAGCUAGCGAGGGAGACUGAGAAAGAUGUGCUAAAUAAUUUUAACACUAAAAGUUAGAAGAAACCUUUGAUCGUUGUGUUAUAUGACUUUACUCUCUCUUUUUUUCGUAGUGGUUCUCCCAUUCAAAUAUAUCUGGCUGGCUACUUGAGGCAAAACAAUUUUAACUUUUUAUUUUCCUUUCAAAUUACAGGUUUUUGUUCUUGGACAGGUAAUAAUAAUAAUAUCUUCAUCGGGUCUCUUGAAAAACCUUUUGAUACCUUCCAAUAUGGUGAAAGCUUGCUUCUUUUUAUUUAGGUGAUACCAAAGAAUGAAAAAGAAGAAUAAUAUUUUUAUUCACGUGGAGUUGCCUUAGGAUGGUACUUUUUCACUUGCAAGUUCAAUAAUAUGAUUUAAUGAUGCUUUUAUUCAUUUUUUCUUUCAAAGAUCUUACUUUGAGGUGUCAGAUAGUAACCAAAGAAGAAGAUAGUCUUCCUCCUGCGACAGAGCCUCAUGAUCUUAAUCUCCUUCACUUUCGACUCUUAUUGUGGAGCUUGAGAUUAUUCAAAGCUUAUAAUUAAAUCGUAGAAUCAUCCUCUAUCUCUCCCGUUUAGUAUA